rnacentral:pre_miRNA from 1 species
AACACAGAGAUAUGUUGCCCUCCAGGAAAUGUGUGUUGCUCUGGUGAAUUAGCUGACAUGUGUUUCCCUGGUAGCUA